UAUUGCACAAUGGGCGCAAGCCUGAUGCAGCCAUGCCGCGUGUGUGAAGAAGGCCUUCGGGUUGUAAAGCACUUUCAGCGAGGAGGAAGGGUAGUGUGUUAAUAGCACAUUGCAUUGACGUUACUCGCAGAAGAAGCACCGGCUAACUCCGUGCCAGCAGCCGCGGUAAUACGGAGGGUGCAAGCGUUAAUCGGAAUCACUGGGCGUAAAGCGCACGCAGGCGGUUUGUUAAGUCAGAUGUGAAAUCCCCGCGCUUAACGUGGAACUGCAUUUAAACUGGCAAGCAGAGUCUUGAAGGGGGGAGAUUCCAGGUGAGCGGUAAAUGCGAAGUCUGGGGAAUCCGGUGGAAGCGCCCCCUGGCAAACUGCGUAGGUGAAA
rnacentral:rRNA from 1 species